GUGACAUUGAGGGGGGAUAGGUCUGAUAUCAGGAGUGACAUUGAGGGGGGAUAGGUCUGAUAUCAGGAGUGACAUUGAGGGGGGAUAGGUCUGAUAUCAGGAGUGACAUUGAGGGGGGAUAGGUCUGAUACCAGGAGUCACAUUGAGGGGGGAUGGGUCUGAUAUCAAGAGUGACAUUGAGGGGGGAUAGGUCUGAUAUCAGGAGUGACCUUAAGGAGGGGGGUGAUAGGUCUGAUAUCAGGAGUGACAUUGAGGGGGGAUAGGUCUGAUAUCAGGAGUGACCUUAAGGAGGGGGGUGAUAGGUCUGAUACCAGGAGUGACAAUGAGGGGGGGUUGAUAGGUCUGAUAUCAGGAGUGACAUUGAGGGGGGAUAGGUCUGAUAUCAGGAGUGACAUUGAGGGGGGAUAGGUCUGAUAUCAGGAGUGACAUUGAGGGGGGAUAGGUCUGAUACCAGGAGUCACAUUGAGGGGGGAUGGGUCUGAUAUCAGGAGUGACAUUGAGGGGGGAUAGGUCUGAUAUCAGGAGUGACAUUAGGGAGAGGGGAUAGGUCUGAUAUCUGGAGUGACAUUGAGGGGGGAUAGGUCUGAUAUCAGGAGUGACAUUGAGAGGGGAUAGGUCUGAUAUCAGGAGUGACAUUGAGAGGGGAUAGGUCUGAUAUCAGGAGUGACAUUGAGAGGGGAUAGGUCUGAUAUCAGGAGUGACAUUGAGGGGGGAUAGGUCUGAUACCAGGAGUCACAUUGAGGGGGGAAAGGUCUGAUAUCAGGAGUCACAUUGAGGGGGGAUAGGUCUGAUAUCAGGAGUGACAUUGAGAGGGGAUAGGUCUGAUAUCAGGAGUGACAUUGAGGGGGGAUAGGUCUGAUAUCAGGAGUGACAUUGAGGGGGGAUAGGUCUGAUAUCAGGA